UGGGCUGGUCGAAAGACCCUGGUCCACCCAAAGGCGUGGGGAUCCC
rnacentral:sRNA from 1 species